GUAAAAAAAUGUUAAGAUUUUUUUAUUUUAGAAUAGUCAUUUAUAUAUAUAUGUGAAUUAAUCUUCUUACAUUAAAAUACUAAAAUAAUUUAUUAUUAUAUGUAUCUAACUAUUAAAAUUAUAUUUGUAAUAAUUUUUAAUAAGAUUAACUAUGUUAAAAUUAGUAUAAUAUCUUUAUUUUAUUAAGGAACUCGGCAAAAUUACUAUUCAUCUGUUUAUCAAAAACAUAGUCUUAUGUAUAAAUAUAAGGUGAAACCUGCCCACUGAUAAAAUUUAAUGGCCGCAGUACCUUGACUGUGCUAAGGUAGCAUAAUAAAUUGACUCUUAAUUGGGGCCUAGAAUGAAUGGAUUCAUGAAUAAUUUCUGUCUCAAAUAAAUUUAUUUUAAUUUACUUAAAAGGUGAAAAUUCCUUUAAUAUAUAAAUUAGACGAGAAGACCCUAGGAGUUUUAAAUUUUGUUGGGGCGACAAUAUAGCAUAUAACCUAUACAAUUUAUAAAGAUAUAACGAAUAAUAUUAAUAAUGAUUAAACUACCCUAGGGAUAACAGCAUAAUUUUAUAUAAAGUUUGUGACCUCGAUGUUGGACUAGGAACUUUUAAUAUUAACAAUGUUAAUUGAUAGUUCUGUUCGA
rnacentral:rRNA from 1 species